rnacentral:rRNA from 1 species
GACGAAGGGGGCUAGCGUUGUUCGGAAUUACUGGGCGUAAAGCGCGCGUAGGCGGACCUGCAAGUCGGGGGUGAAAGCCCGAGGCUCAACCUCGGAACUGCCUUCGAUACUGCGGGUCUCGAGUCCGGGAGAGGUGAGUGGAAUUCCUAGUGUAGAGGUGAAAUUCGUAGAUAUUAGGAAGAACACCAGUGGCGAAGGCGGCUCACUGGCCCGGUACUGACGCUGAGGCGCGAAAGCGUGGGGAGCGAACAGG